rnacentral:rRNA from 1 species
CGGGGUGCAGCAGGCGCGAAAACUUUACACUGCGGGAAACCGUGAUAAGGGGACACCGAGUGCCAGCAUCAUAUGCUGGCUGUCCAGGUGUGUAAAAUACACCUGUUAGCAAGGGCCGGGCAAGACCGGUGCCAGCCGCCGCGGUAACACCGGCGGCCCGAGUGGUGAUCGUGAUUAUUGGGUCUAAAGGGUCCGUAGCCGGUUUGGUCAGUCCUCCGGGAAAUCUGACGGCUCAACCGUUAGGCUUUCGGGGGAUACUGCCAGGCUUGGAACCGGGAGAGGUAAGAGGUACUACAGGGGUAGGAGUGAAAUCUUGUAAUCCCUGUGAGACCACCUGUGGCGAAGGCGUCUUACCAGAACGGGUUCGACGGUGAGGGACGAAAGCUGGGGGCACGAACCGGAUUAGAUACCCGGGUAGUCCCAGCCGUAAACGAUGCUCGCUAGGUGUCAGGCAUGGCGCGACCGUGUCUGGUGCCGCAGGGAAGCCGUGAAGCGAGCCACCUGGGAAGUACGGCCGCAAGGCUGAAACUUAAAGGAAUUGGCGGGGGAGCAC